rnacentral:rRNA from 1 species
GACGAACGCUGGCGGCGUGCCUAAUACAUGCAAGUAGAACGCUGAAGGAGGAGCUUGCUUCUCUGGAUGAGUUGCGAACGGGUGAGUAACGCGUAGGUAACCCGCCUGGUAGCGGGGGAUAACUAUUGGAAACGAUAGCUAAUACCGCAUAAUAGUAGAUGUUGCAUGACAUUUGCUUAAAAGGUGCAAUUGCAUCACUACCAGAUGGACCUGCGUUGUAUUAGCUAGUUGGUGAGGUAACGGCUCACCAAGGCGACGAUACAUAGCCGACCUGAGAGGGGGAUCGGCCAGACUGGGACUGAGACACGGCCCAGACUCCUACGGGAGGCAGCAGUAGGGAAUCUUCGGCAAUGGACGGAAGUCUGACCGAGCAACGCCGCGUGAGUGAAGAAGGUUUUCGGAUCGUAAAGCUCUGUUGUAAGAGAAGAACGAGUGUGAGAGUGGAAAGUUCACACUGUGACGGUAUCUUACCAGAAAGGAACGGCUAACUACGUG